rnacentral:rRNA from 1 species
GACGAACGCUGGCGGCGUGCUUAACACAUGCAAGUGGAGCGACGAACCGGGCUUCGGCCCGGGGCAAAGCCGCGAACGGGUGAGUAUCACGUGGGUAACCUGCCCCGAUGACCGGGAUAACCCGAGGAAACUCGGGCUAAUACCGGAUGUGCUCUUCCCACAUCAGUGGGACGCGUAAAGGAAGCUUCGGCCUCCGCCUUGGGAUGGGCCCGCGGCCCAUUAGCUUGUUGGUGAGGUAACGGCUCACCAAGGCUGCGAUGGGUAGCUGGUCUGAGAGGACGAUCAGCCACACUGGGACUGAGACACGGCCCAGACUCCUACGGGAGGCAGCAGUGGGGAAUCUUGCGCAAUGCGCGAAAGCGUGACGCAGCAACGCCGCGUGAGGGAAGACGGCCUUCGGGUUGUAAACCUCUUUCAGGAGGGACGAAGGUUCAGGCGCGAAUAGCGUCCUGGACUGACGGUACCUCCAGAAGAAGCUCCGGCUAACUACGUGCCAGCCGCCGCCGUAA